rnacentral:rRNA from 1 species
UGCGUAGGCGGGGCAAUUAGUCAGUGGUGAAAUCCUGCGGCUUAACCGUAGAACUGCCAUUGAUACUGUUGCUCUUGAGUAUAGUUGAGGUGGGCGGAAUGUGUAAUGUAGCGGUGAAAUGCAUAGAUAUUACACAGAGCACCAAUUGCGAAGGCAGCUCACUAAGCUAUAACUGACGCUGAGGCACGAAAGCGUGGGGAGCGAACAGGAUUAGAUACCCUGGUAGUCC